rnacentral:sRNA from 1 species
AAAGGUGAGAGUGAUCUGGUUUUGCCAUCUAUCACCCCAUGGAUAGCCAGGGUUGAUUCAGCUGAUCUGACUGGCUAAAUGGCUCUCCCUUUCCUCACUCACUCACCACUUCAUGUGCAUCUCUCUCAAAGUUGUAUGCUCAGUGGAAAAGGAUAUUUAUUCCAGAUAAAGCAAAUGUACUNUUGUUCCAUCAAGGGUAUACAAUUUUUUUGUGUGAGUGUGAUGUAGUGUUAGGUAUCAGAGCAAGACCUGGGAGCCCCUGAGUUCAAAUGCACUCUUGGCCAUUAAGUUCAUUAUUUAAAUAAUGUAAAUUUAAAU